AAUGAGGAAAGCCAAACACAGAUAGAAUGCUAUGUCCCAGCCAGGGAAGUAUCCAAUGGCCAGCCUUCAGAGUACAGUCAGUGUGAUGUUUUGCCCAGAGACUGUUGUUAUCCCAAAAGAGAAGGAAUGUGUGGUGCUAUUAGAAAUGAAUAUGUCAAGCUAUAGUCAAGCACCAGGAGAUAAAUAGGAUCUGUCAUAUACUUGAGAGGAUUUUACUUCACUUCUGUGUAUAUUCUCUUGUCCAGCUCCUAAACUUCCUUUGUGGCAUUUGCCAUCUGUCAUUAAGAAGAUGAUGCUGAUGUACAAGAUGCGAUCUAUAGAGAAGAGCCUUAUUUCUAAAAGCUCUUGGGAAGAUAUUUAUUGAGAAAACACCCUCUCUAUUUUCUUCUCCAGUUAUAAGUUCUUGCACCCUGAUUCAUUGUGCAGCUCCAAAUUAAAAAGAGUUCUCAGGGCACCUGGGUGGCUCAGUCGGU